rnacentral:rRNA from 1 species
AUGAUAGAGAAACUGCUAGCUAAUCCCUUUGCAGGAGAUGGAACAUUGCAUCUCGAUUUACACCUUAUCUAUGUGGAUGAAGUUUGUGGAUUAUUUAAGCUUGCAGUUAUUCCCGAUGAUGUUGUCAAAAGGAAGGUCUUUCCUUUAUCUUUGAAGGGAGAUGCAUUGACAUGGUAUAGGCUAUGUGAUGAUACGGGAUCUUGGAACUAUAAACGAUUGAAGUUGGAAUUUCACCAGAAGUUCUAUCAUAUGCAUCUUGUUCAACGUGAUUGUAAUUAUAUAUAUAAUUUUUGGCCUCGCGAAGGAGAAAGCAUCACUCAAGCUUGGGGGAGGCUUAAGUCAAUGUUAUAUUCAUGCCCAAAUCAUGAGCUCUCAAGAGAAAUGAUCAUUCAAAAUUUUUAUGCUCGGCUUUCUCUCAAUGAUUGCACCAUGCUCGAUACUACCUGUGCUGGUUCUUAUAUGCUGAAGACUACAGAAUUCAAGUGA